UCCCUCCUGGCUUAGUUGGUAAAGAAUCUGCCUGUAAUUCGGGAGACCUGGGUUCGAUCCCUGGGUUGGGAA
rnacentral:tRNA from 1 species